UAGUCUACGCCGUAAACGAUGGAUACUAGCUGUUCGGAACUUGUUUCUGAGUGGCUAAGCGAAAGUGAUAAGUAUCCCACCUGGGGAGUACGUUCGCAAGAAUGAAACUCAAAGGAAUUGACGGGGGCCCGCACAAGCGGUGGAGCAUGUGGUUUAAUUCGAUGAUACGCGAGGAACCUUACCAGGGCUUAAAUGUAGAUUGCAUUAGGUGGAGACACUUAUUUCUUCGGACUAUCUACAAGGUGCUGCAUGGUUGUCGUCAGCUCGUGCCGUGAGGUGUCAGGUUAAGUCCUAUAACGAGCGCAACCCCUGUUGUUAGUUGCCAGCGAGUCAAGUCGGGAACUCUAACAAGACUGCCAGUGCAAACUGUGAGGAAGGUGGGGAUGACGUCAAAUCAUCACGGCCCUUACGUCCUGGGCUACACACGUGCUACAAUGGUAGGGACAGAGAGCAGCCACUGUGCGAACAGGAGCGAAUCUAUAAACCCUAUCACAGUUCGGAUC
rnacentral:rRNA from 1 species